CCGUGACCUGACUGCUAUCGGAGUGAGACUAAGCCAUGCGAGUCAACCCGAAAGGGUGGCGGACGGCUCAGUAACACGUAGUCAACCUGCCCUACCCACGUGGAAAACGUCGGGAAACUGACGAUAAACCGCGAUAGGUCAUCGCUUCUGGAAUGGGCAAUGGCUCAAACCUACAUGGCCCUAGGAUGGGACUGCGGCCGAUCAGGUUGUUGGUGAGGUAAUGGCUCACCAAGCCUAUAACCGGUACGGGCUCUGAGAGGAGGAGCCCGGAGAUGGACACUGAGACAAGGGUCCAGGUCCUAUGGGACGCACAGGCGCGAAACCUUCGCAAUAGGCGAAAGCCUGACGAGGUUACUCCCGAGUGUUUCCUGCUAAAAGGAAUCUUUUUGUCAGCUCUAAAAAUGCUGAUGAAUAAGGGGUGGGCAAGCCUGGUGUCAGCCCGCCGCGGUAAUACCAGCACCUCUGAGUGGGUCAGGAGGUUUAUUGGGCCUAAAGCAUCCGUAACCGGCUGCUCAAGUUUCCGGUUAAAUCUCACACGCUUAACGUAUGGGCUGCCGGAAAUACUGUUCAGCUAGGGAGUGGGAGAGGUAGACGGUACUCGAUAGGAAGGGGUAAAAUCCUUUGAUCUAUUGAUGACCACCUGUGGCGAAGGCGGUCUACCAGAACACGUUCGACGGUGAGGGAUGAAAGCUGGGGGAGCAAACCGGAUUAGAUACCCGGGUAGUCCCAGCUGUAAACGAUGCAGACUCGGUGAUGCAUUGGCUUAUGGCCAGUGCAGUGCCGCAGGGGGGGCGUUAAGUUUGCCGCCUGGGAAGUACGUACGCAAGUAUGAAACUUAAAGGAAUUGGCGGGAGCACCACAAGGGGUGAAGCCUGCGGUUC
rnacentral:rRNA from 1 species